rnacentral:rRNA from 1 species
UACGUAGGGUGCAAGCGUUGUCCGGAAUUAUUGGGCGUAAAGAGCUCGUAGGCGGUUUGUCGCGUCUGCUGUGAAAACGCGAGGCUCAACCUCGCGCCUGCAGUGGGUACGGGCAGACUAGAGUGCAGUAGGGGAGACUGGAAUUCCUGGUGUAGCGGUGGAAUGCGCAGAUAUCAGGAGGAACACCGAUGGCGAAGGCGGAUCUCUGGGCCACUACUGACGUGAGGAGCGAAAGCGUGGGGAGCGAACAGGAUUAGAACCUAC